AUGCUCACUUCGACAGCUCAUAUACUAAAAUUGGAACAAUACAGAGAGUAUUAGCAUGGCCCCUGUGCAAGGAUGGCACGCAAAUCCAUUAAGCGUUCCAUUAAAAA